AUUGAACGCUGGCGGCAGGCCUAACACAUGCAAGUCGAACGAGUGGCGGACGGGUGAGUAAUGUCUGGGAAACUGCCCGAUGGAGGGGGAUAACUACUGGAAACGGUAGCUAAUACCGCAUACCAUCGGAUGUGCCCAGAUGGGAUUAGCUUGUAGGUGAGGUAACGGCUCACCUAGGCGACGAUCCCUAGCUGGUCUGAGAGGAUGACCAGCCAAACGGGACCUGAGAAACGGUCCAGACGCCUAAGGGAGGCAGAAGUGGGGAAUAGGGCACAAUGGGCGCAAGACUGAUGCAGCCAUGCCGCGUGGAUGAAGAAGGCCUUCGGGUUGUAAAGUACUUGCAGCGGGGAGGCGUUACCCGCAGAAGAAGCACCGGCUAAAUCCGUGCCAGCAGCCGCGGUAAUAC
rnacentral:rRNA from 1 species